GCCUAGGAAUCUGCCUAGUAGUGGGGGACAACGUUUCGAAAGGAACGCUAAUACCGCAUACGUCCUACGGGAGAAAGUGGGGGAUCUUCGGACCUCACGCUAUUAGAUGAGCCUAGGUCGGAUUAGCUAGUUGGUAGGGUAAAGGCCUACCAAGGCGACGAUCCGUAACUGGUCUGAGAGGAUGAUCAGUCACACUGGAACUGAGACACGGUCCAGACUCCUACGGGAGGCAGCAGUGGGGAAUAUUGGACAAUGGGCGAAAGCCUGAUCCAGCCAUGCCGCGUGUGUGAAGAAGGCCCUCGGGUCGUAAAGCACUUUAAGUUGGGAGGAAGGGCUUACAGCGAAUACCUGUGAGUUUUGACGUUACCGACAGAAUAAGCACCGGCUAACUUCGUGCCAGCAGCCGCGGUAAUACGAAGGGUGCAAGCGUUAAUCGGAAUUACUGGGCGUAAAGCGCGCGUAGGUGGCUUGAUAAGUUGGAUGUGAAAUCCCCGGGCUCAACCUGGGAACUGCAUCCAAAACUGUCUGGCUAGAGUGUGGUAGAGGGUAGUGGAAUUUCCAGUGUAGCGGUGAAAUGCGUAGAUAUUGGAAGGAACACCAGUGGCGAAAGGCGACUACCUGGACUAACACUGACACUGA
rnacentral:rRNA from 1 species